rfam:Leucosporidium creatinivorum strain 62-1032 BCR35scaffold_14, whole genome shotgun sequence.
GGCUUUGUGGCCUAGUGGUAAGGCGUCGGUUUCCGAGUACGGACAAGCCGGAGAUCGCGGGUUCGAGCCCCGCCUCAGUCA